UACGUAGGGUGCGAGCGUUAAUCGGAAUUACUGGGCGUAAAGCGUGCGCAGGCGGUUUUGUAAGCCAGAUGUGAAAUCCCCGGGCUCAACCUGGGAAUGGCAUUUGGGACUGCAAGGCUGGAGUGUGGCAGAGGAGACUGGAAUUCCCGGUGUAGCAGUGAAAUGCGUAGAUAUCGGGAGGAAUACCGAUGGCGAAGGCAGGUCUCUGGGCUGACACUGACGCUCAUGCACGAAAGCGUGGGGAGCAAACAGG
rnacentral:rRNA from 1 species